rnacentral:rRNA from 1 species
AGAGUUUGAUCCUGGCUCAGAACGAACGCUGGCGGUAUGCUUAACACAUGCAAGUCGAACGAGAAAGUCUCUUCGGAGAUGAGUAGAGUGGCGCACGGGUGAGUAACACGUAGAUAACCUGCCCUAUAGUCUGGGACAACCCUUCGAAAGGAGGGCUAAUACUGGAUAACACAUUUUAUCGAGUGGUAGAAUGUUGAAAGAUUUAUCGCUAUGGGAUGGGUCUGCGUACCAUUAGCUAGUUGGUGGGGUAAUGGCCUACCAAGGCAUCGAUGGUUAGCGGGUCUGAGAGGAUGAUCCGCCACACUGGAACUGAGACACGGUCCAGACUCCUACGGGAGGCAGCAGUGGGGAAUUUUGCGCAAUGGGCGAAAGCCUGACGCAGCAAUACCGCGUGAGUGAAGAAGGCCUUUGGGUCGUAAAGCUCUUUUCUAGGGGAAGAUAGUGACGGUACCUUAGGAAUAAGCACCGGCUAACUCCGUGCCAGCAGCCGCGGUAAUACGGAGGGUGCGAGCGUUGUUCGGAUUUACUGGGCGUAAAGGGCACGUAGGCGGCAUAGCAAGUUAAGGGUGAAAUCCCGGGGCUCAACUCCGGAACUGCUCUUAAAACUGCUAAGCUAGAGAUAGUCAGAGGCGGGUGGAAUUCCUGGUGUAGAGGUGAAAUUCGUAGAUAUCAGGAGGAACACCGGUGGCGAAGGCGGCCCGCUGGGGCUAUUCUGACGCUAAGGUGCGAAAGCGUGGGGAGCGAACGGGAUUAGAUA